AGAGUUUGAUUCUGGCGUCAGGACUGAACGCUAGCGGCAGGCCUAAUACAUGCAAGUCGGACGGGAGUUCCCCUUCGGGGGGAUGAGAGUGGCGGACGGGUGCGCAACGCGUAUGCAACCUGUCCCCCCGGAGGCUGACAGCCGGUGGAAACGCCGGGUGAUCGGCCGUGCGGCCCUUGGGGGGCAUCCUUCAGGGGCGAAAGGCCUACGGGCGCCGGGGAGGGGCAUGCGUCCCAUUAGAUAGUCGGCGGGGUGACGGCCCACCCGAGUCAACGAUGGGUAGGGGGUCUGAGAGGACGGCCCCCCACACUGGCACUGAGACACGGGCCAGACUCCUGCGGGAGGCAGCAGUAAGGGAUAGUUGGUCAAUGGGGGGAACCCUGAACCAACGCCAUGCCGCGUGAGGGAAGUAGGCCCUACGGGUCGUGAACCUCUUUUAUUCGGGGACAAGGGCGCGGUCGCGAACCGUGUUAGAGGGUACCGAAGGAAUAAGCGUCGGCUAACUCCGUGCCAGCCGCGGC
rnacentral:rRNA from 1 species